AUUGAACGCUGGCGGCAUGCCUUACACAUGCAAGUCGAACGGUAACAGGUCUUCGGAUGCUGACGAGUGGCGAACGGGUGAGUAAUACAUCGGAACGUGCCUAGUAGUGGGGGAUAACUACCCGCAAGAGUGGCUAAUACCGCAUGAGAUCUACGGAUGAAAGCAGGGGAUCGCAAGACCUUGUGCUACUAGAGCGGCCGAUGGCAGAUUAGGUAGUUGGUGGGAUAAAAGCUUACCAAGCCGACGAGCUGUAGCGGGUCUGAGAGGACGAUCAGCCACACGGGGACUGAGACACUGCGCAGACUCCUACGGGGGGCAGCAGUGGGGAAUUUUGGACAAUGGGCGCAAGCCUGAUCCAGCAAUGCCGCGUGCAGGAUGAAGGCGUUCGGGUUGUAAACUGCUUUUGUACGGAACGAAAAGCCCCGAGUUAAUACCCUGGGGUCAUGACGGUACCGUAAGAAUAAGCACCGGCUAACUACGUGCCAGCCGCCGCAGUAA
rnacentral:rRNA from 1 species